rnacentral:rRNA from 1 species
CUUUACUGCAACUUGACGUUGGAACUUGGCUGUAUUUGUGUAGGAUAGGUGGGAGACUUUGAAGCAGGGCCGCCAGGUCUUGCGGAGUCGUCGUUGAAAUACCACCCUGGUGCUGGCGAGUUUCUAACCGUGUCCGUAAGCCGGACAUGAGACAGCGUCUGGUGGGCAGUUUGACUGGGGCGGUCGCCUCCUAAAAGGUAACGGAGGCAUUCAAAGGUCCCCUCAGCGCGGUCGGUAAUCACGCGCAGAGUGCAAACGCAUGAGGGGGCUUAACUGCGAGACCGACAGGUCGAGCAGGAACGAAAGUAGGAGUUAGUGAUCCCGCGGUUUAGCGUGGAAUUGCCGUUGCUCAAUGGAUAAAAGGUA